GACGAACGCUGGCGGCGUGCUUAACACAUGCAAGUCGAACGAAGUGGCGAACGGGUGAGUAACGCGUAAUCAACCUGCCCUUCAGAGGGGGACAACAGGUGGACACGACUGCUAAUACCGCAUACUGAAGGAGGGGAUUGCGUCUGAUUAGGUAGUUGGGGGGGUAACGGCCCACCAAGGCGCAGAUCAGUAGCCGGUCUGACAGGAUGAACGGCCAGAAUGGGACUGGGAAACGGCCCAAACUCGUACGGGAGGCAGGCGUGGGGAAACUUCCGCAAUGGACUAAAGUCUGACGGAGCAACGCCGCGUGAGUGAUGACGGCCUUCGGGUUGUAAAGCUCUGUUAAUCGGGACGCGGUACCGGAAUAGAAAGCCACGGCUAACUACGUGCCAGCAGCCGCGGUAAUAC
rnacentral:rRNA from 1 species